rnacentral:rRNA from 1 species
GAUGAACGCUAGCGGCAGGCUUAAUACAUGCAAGUCGAGCGGUAGCAAGAUUGUAGCAAUACAAUUGUUGACGACCGGCAAACGGGUGCGGAACACGUACACAACCUUCCUACAAGUGGGGAAUAGCCCAGAGAAAUUUGGAUUAAUACCCCGUAACAUAGCGAUGUGGCAUCACAUUGCUAUUAUAGCUUCGGCGCUUGUUGAUGGGUGUGCGGCUGGUUAGAUAGUUGGUGGGGUAACCGCCCACCAAGUCUACGAUCAGUAGCUGAUGGGAGAGCAGGAGCAGCUGCACGGGCAGCGAGACACGGGCCCCACACCUAGUGGAGGGAGCAGUAAGGAAUAUAGGACGAUGGACGCAAGUGUGACCCAGCCAUGCCGCGUGAAGGAGUAAGGUCCUCUGGAUUGUAACUUUCUUUGAUAAGGGACGAAAAAAGGUAUUUCUAGAUCGUCUGACGGUACCUUAAGAAUAAGCACCGGCUAACUCCGUACCAGCCGCCGCAGUAACAC